UACGUAGGGUCCGAGCGUUGUCCGGAAUUAUUGGGCGUAAAGAGCUCGUAGGUUGUGUGUCGCGUCUGCUGUGUAAGUCCGGGGCUUAACUCCGGUUUUGCAGUGGAUACGGGCAUGCUAGAGGUAGGCAGGGGAGACUGGAAUUCUUGGUGUAGCGGUGAAAUGCGCAGAUAUCAGGAGGAGCACCGGUGGCGAAGGCGGGUCUCUGGGGCUGACCUGACGCUGAGGAGCGAAAGCGUAGGGAGCGAACAGG
rnacentral:misc_RNA from 1 species